rnacentral:rRNA from 1 species
ACGCUGGCGGCACGCCUAACACAUGCAAGUCGAACGAAGUAGCAAUACUUAGUGGCAGACGGGUGAGUAACAUGUAGGUAUCUGCCCUUUGGCCUGGAAUAACACGAGGAAACUUGUGCUAAUACCGGAUAAGUCUUUACGGAGAAAGCUUUAUGCACCAUUGGAUGAGCCUGCACUUGAUUAGUUUGUUGGUGGGGUAAUGGCCUACCAAGACUGUGAUCAAUAGCUGAUUUGAGAGGAUGAUCAGCCACAUUGGGACUGAGACACGGCCCAAACUCCUACGGGAGGCAGCAGUGGGGAAUCUUGCACAAUGGAGGAAACUCUGAUGCAGCGAUGCCGCGUGAGUGAAGAAGGCCUUUGGGUUGUAAAGCUCUUUCGUCGGGGAAGAAAAUGACUGUACCCGAAUAAGAAGGUCCGGCUAACUUCGUGCCAGCAGCCGCGGUAAUACGAAGGGACCUAGCGUAGUUCGGAAUUACUGGGCUUAAAGAGUUCGUAGGUGGUUGAAAAAGUUGGUGGUGAAAUCCCAGAGCUUAACUCUGGAACUGCCAUCAAAACUUUUCAGCUUGAGUAUGAUAGAGGAAAGCAGAAUUUCUAGUGUAGAGGUGAAAUUCGUAGAUAUUAGAAAGAAUACCAAUUGCGAAGGCAGCUUUCUGGAUCAUUACUGACACUGAGGAACGAAAGCAUGGGUAGCGAAGAGGAUUAGAUACCCUCGUAGUCCAUGCCGUAAACGAUGUGUGUUAGACGUUGGAAAUUUAUUUUCAGUGUCGCAGCGAAAGCGAUAAACACACCGCCUGGGGAGUAC